rnacentral:lncRNA from 1 species
UCUUGGGAUACCUUUGGAGGGAUCCAGUUAAUGGACUGGCUGCCAUAAUUGGUCUGAGACACUGGUGCAAGCAUGAGAAUGGGAAUCUACAGGUCUCUAUCCCUGGUGAGCCCGGAGGUUGAGUUUUCACAAGGGCAGCAAGAAGAAUCCCUUCUCCUCUUCCUGUCCACCUUCUGAAGAGGAGGAGACAGAGCCGGGUUGCAGAUCCUCACCAAAGUGGAUGCUGUUCCCAGAGGAAGGAAGGCCCCCCCGGGGCAAGGUUGCCAACAUGACCCCACAGAGACCAGGAACAAACGUUCUUGCCUUUGGACUUCACUUCUUCACAGAGCCAGAGUUACAGGCCAACCUGAAGAUGGUAUCAUGACUCACACACACUUAUUUCUCAGCCUCAGCCAGGCUCAAGAGCAAGACUGCUGAAGGAGGAAGGGCCCUUCAUGGCCUCCUCUGCCUCGUGACUGCUUUACCUGCCACUGAUGAGGCUUCCCUGGGAUGAGAUGGAGACGAGGGCACUGAAUGACUUUGAGUUAGGGGGACUCAAGAGGGUGAGGGCACCAUGAUCAUUACCCCUUCAGUCUCCUGUCUCCCUCUUGGCAUCUCUGCAACACAGAAGGCUGGCAAUGGUGAGAUAUUAUAUUGUCAAUUAUUCAAACUUUAGAAUUUUCUGAUGCCUCAACAUCCCUGCAAAUGGGCUGUGAGCACCUUGCCCAGGUGACCAGGUGCACCAGUGUGCUAAGGCUGGUCCGGGCCACAGGUUCCCCACUUUGUGCUCCCCUGACUGGGACCUAGUGACAUCAACACCACCAGUGCAAUCCCCUCACACCUUUUGCUUGUGGAUUCCCCUCUGAAGUCCAAUAAAGGCG